rnacentral:rRNA from 1 species
GUACACAAAAAUGCACAUGCUGUGAGCUCGAUGAGUAGGGCGGGACACGUGGUAUCCUGUCUGAAUAUGGGGGGACCAUCCUCCAAGGCUAAAUACUCCUGACUGACCGAUAGUGAACCAGUACCGUGAGGGAAAGGCGAAAAGAACCCCGGCGAGGGGAGUGAAAAAGAACCUGAAACCGUGUACGUACAAGCAGUGGGAGCACGCUUAGGCGUGUGACUGCGUACCUUUUGUAUAAUGGGUCAGCGACUUAUAUUCUGUAGCAAGGUUAACCGAAUAGGGGAGCCGAAGGGAAACCGAGUCUUAACUGGGCGUUAAGUUGCAGGGUAUAGACCCGAAACCCGGUGAUCUAGCCAUGGGCAGGUUGAAGGUUGGGUAACACUAACUGGAGGACCGAACCGACUAAUGUUGAAAAAUUAGCGGAUGACUUGUGGCUGGGGGUGAAAGGCCAAUCAAACCGGGAGAUAGCUGGUUCUCCCCGAAAGCUAUUUAGGUAGCGCCUCGUGAAUUCAUCUCCGGGGGUAGAGCACUGUUUCGGCAAGGGGGUCAUCCCGACUUACCAACCCGAUGCAAACUGCGAAUACCGGAGAAUGUUAUCACGGGAGACACACGGCGGGUGCUAACGUCCGUCGUGAAGAGGGAAACAACCCAGACCGCCAGCUAAGGUCCCAAAGUCAUGGUUAAGUGGGAAACGAUGUGGGAAGGCCCAGACAGCCAGGAUGUUGGCUUAGAAGCAGCCAUCAUUUAAAGAAAGCGUAAUAGCUCACUGGUCGAGUCGGCCUGCGCGGAAGAUGUAACGGGGCUAAACCAUGCACCGAAGCUGCGGCAGCGACACUAUGUGUUGUUGGGUAGGGGAGCGUUCUGUAAGCCUGUGAAGGUGUACUGUGAGGUAUGCUGGAGGUAUCAGAAGUGCGAAUGCUGACAUAAGUAACGAUAAAGCGGGUGAAAAGCCCGCUCGCCGGAAGACCAAGGGUUCCUGUCCAACGUUAAUCGGGGCAGGGUGAGUCGACCCCUAAGGCGAGGCCGAAAGGCGUAGUCGAUGGGAAACAGGUUAAUAUUCCUGUACUUGGUGUUACUGCGAAGGGGGGACGGAGAAGGCUAUGUUGGCCGGGCGACGGUUGUCCCGGUUUAAGCGUGUAGGCUGGUUUUCCAGGCAAAUCCGGAAAAUCAAGGCUGAGGCGUGAUGACGAGGCACUACGGUGCUGAAGCAACAAAUGCCCUGCUUCCAGGAAAAGCCUCUAAGCAUCAGGUAACAUCAAAUCGUACCCCAAACCGACACAGGUGGUCAGGUAGAGAAUACCAAGGCGCUUGAGAGAACUCGGGUGAAGGAACUAGGCAAAAUGGUGCCGUAACUUCGGGAGAAGGCACGCUGAUAUGUAGGUGAAGUCCCUCGCGGAUGGAGCUGAAAUCAGUCGAAGAUACCAGCUGGCUGCAACUGUUUAUUAAAAACACAGCACUGUGCAAACACGAAAGUGGACGUAUACGGUGUGACGCCUGCCCGGUGCCGGAAGGUUAAUUGAUGGGGUCAGCGCAAGCGAAGCUCUUGAUCGAAGCCCCGGUAAACGGCGGCCGUAACUAUAACGGUCCUAAGGUAGCGAAAUUCCUUGUCGGGUAAGUUCCGACCUGCACGAAUGGCGUAAUGAUGGCCAGGCUGUCUCCACCCGAGACUCAGUGAAAUUGAACUCGCUGUGAAGAUGCAGUGUACCCGCGGCAAGACGGAAAGACCCCGUGAACCUUUACUAUAGCUUGACACUGAACAUUGAGCCUUGAUG